rnacentral:rRNA from 1 species
GACGAACGCUGGCGGCGUGCUUAACACAUGCAAGUCGAACGGAAAGGCCCUGCUUCUGUGGGGUGCUCGAGUGGCGAACGGGUGAGUAACACGUGAGUAACCUGCCCUUGACUUUGGGAUAACUUCAGGAAACUGGGGCUAAUACCGGAUAGGAGCUCCUGCUGCAUGGUGGGGGUUGGAAAGUUUCGGCGGUUGGGGAUGGACUCGCGGCUUAUCAGCUUGUUGGUGGGGUAGUGGCUUACCAAGGCUUUGACGGGUAGCCGGCCUGAGAGGGUGACCGGCCACAUUGGGACUGAGAUACGGCCCAGACUCCUACGGGAGGCAGCAGUGGGGAAUAUUGCACAAUGGGCGGAAGCCUGACGCAGCAACGCCGCGUGCGGGAUGACGGCCUUCGGGUUGUAAACCGCUUUCGCCUGUGACGAAGCGUGAGUGACGGUAAUGGGUAAAGAAGCACCGGCUAACUACGUG